rnacentral:rRNA from 1 species
GACGAACGCUGGCGGCGCGCCUAAUACAUGCAAGUAGAACGCACAGUUUAUACCGUAGCUUGCUACACCAUAGACUGUGAGUUGCGAACGGGUGAGUAACGCGUAGGUAACCUGCCUGGUAGCGGGGGAUAACUAUUGGAAACGAUAGCUAAUACCGCAUAAUAUUGAUUAUUGCAUGAUAAUUGAUUGAAAGAUGCUAUUGCAUCACUACCAGAUGGACCUGCGUUGUAUUAGCUAGUAGGUGAGGUAACGGCUCACCUAGGCGACGAUACAUAGCCGACCUGAGAGGGUGAUCGGCCACACUGGGACUGAGACACGGCCCAGACUCCUACGGGAGGCAGCAGUAGGGAAUCUUCGGCAAUGGACGAAAGUCUGACCGAGCAACGCCGCGUGAGUGAAGAAGGUUUUCGGAUCGUAAAGCUCUGUUGUAAGAGAAGAACGGGUGUGAGAGUGGAAAGUUCACACUGUGACGGUAUCUUACCAGAAAGGGACGGCUAACUACGUG